rnacentral:tRNA from 1 species
GCAUGCGUAGCUCAGCUGGAUAGAGCAAUCCCCUCCUAAGGGAUAGGUCGCAGGUUCAAAUCCUGCCGCGUGCGCCA